CUGAAGCCCAUUAAAGUUAAACAAGGUGCUCAAAGUCACCCAGCUGAGGAGGACUUAGCCCUAGUCUGUCUGGUCCAAAGUCCCUGCGUUUCCUGUGACAGCCUCCCCUCACGGUGCCGGUGACGCUGCUGGUAUAACAGGGCCUCAGAGAUGGGACGGCUCAGGAGAGAAACAGAAGCUGUGGAAGUUUCCAGGUGAUGGGGUGACUUGGAGUGGGGUGAGGAGGCAGCCCAGUGCACAGCUGGAUCAGAUUCCAUCCGACCCGUGGGAACCUACCAACAUUGGCUGGUGUGAUGAGGGCUGCUCUCAGGCACGAAAUCACAGCUCCAACCGUAUCAGAAGGAACACAAAGUCCGGCCUUUCAGAUGGGGCAUUCCCAGGAGGCAAGGUGCCAACAACCCUGCUUCACGGAGCUCUGGC
rnacentral:lncRNA from 1 species